rnacentral:rRNA from 1 species
GACGAACGCUGGCGGCGUGCUUAACACAUGCAAGUCGAACGGAAAGGCCCUGCUUUUGUGGGGUUCUCGAUUGGCGAACGGGUGAGUAACACGUGAGUAACCUGCCCUUGACUUUGGGAUAACUUCAGGAAACUGGGGCUAAUACCGGAUAGGAGCUCCUGCUGCAUGGUGGUGGUUGGAAAGUUUCGGCGGUUGGGGAUGGACUCGCUGCUUAUCCGCUUGUUUGUGGGGUAGUGGCUUACCAAGGCUUUGACGGGUAGCCGGCCUGAGAGGGUGACCGGCCACAUUGGGACUGAGAGACGGACCAGACUCCUACGGGAGGCAGAAGUGGGGAAUAUUGCACAAUGGGCGGAAGCCUGAUGCAGCAACGCCGCGUGCGGGAUGACGGCCUUCGGGUUGUAAACCGCUUUCGCCUGUGACGAAGCGUGAGUGACGGUAAUGGGUAAAGAAGCACCGGCUAACUACGUG